CCUCUUUUACCAGGGACCCGCCAACAUGGGCCGCGUUCGCACCAAAACCGUGAAGAAGGCGGCCCGGGUCAUCAUAGAGAAAUACUACACGCGCCUGGGCAACGACUUCCACACGAACAAGCGCGUGUGCGAGGAGAUCGCCAUUAUCCCCAGCAAAAAGCUCCGCAACAAGAUAGCAGGGUGAGUCGGGCCUUCCUCGGCCUCCGGGGCUCCGCGGUCUGUCUGUGUGCUCUGCCGCCCUCCGACUCGGGAAGAGACGGUGCCUUGGUGGUUUCGUUAGCCUGAGACUCCCUGGUGUCCCGGAGAAGGGCUAGAGCUUUGCGUGUGCAGGAUUUCUCUUGUGAACCUAGGCUUGUGUCAUGACUGGCCGCGGUGACCCUGGGUCGAAGGUAGCCACCGUCAGACCUCUUGCUUUGAAGCUACGUUGCUUUUAGUUGUCAACUUUUUUCUUUCUUUUUUUUUUCUUUUUUUUGAGACGGAAUCUUGCCCUGGCGCCCAGGCUAGAGUGCAGUGGCGCCAUCUCGGCUCACUGCAACCUCCGUCUCCCGGGUUCAAGCGAUUGUCAUGCCUCAGCCUUCCCAGUAGCUGGGAUUAGAGGCACGUGCUACCACACUUGGCUAAUUUUUGUAUUUUUAGUAGACAACAGGGUUUCACAAUGUUGACCAGGCUGGUCUCGAACACCUGACCUCAAGCGAUCCGCCCGCCUCGGCCUCCCAAAUUGCUGGGAUUACAGGCGUGAGCCACCUCGCCCAGCUGGAUGUCAACUUCUAAUGCUUACUUCACAGUUGCAGUUACUGUUCGAGAGAUUUAUAGGCAUAUGGCCUGGAAGAAUAGUGCCAAAGUCAA
rnacentral:lncRNA from 1 species